GACGAACGCUGGCGGCGUGCUUAACACAUGCAAGUCGAACGGAAAGGCCCUGCUUUUGUGGGGUGCUCGAGUGGCGAACGGGUGAGUAAAACGUGAGUAACCUGCCCUUGACUUUGGGAUAACUUCAGGAAACUGGGGCUAAUACCGGAUAGGAGCUCCUGCUGCAUGGUGGGGGUUGGAAAGUUUCGGCGGUUGGGGCUGGACUAGCGGCUUAUCAGCUUGUUGGUGGGGUAGUGGCUUACCAAGGCUUUGACGGGUAGCCGGCCUGAGAGGGUGACCGGCCACAUUGGGACUGAGAUACGGCCCAGUCUCCUACGGGAGGCAGCAGUGGAGAAUAUUGCACAAUGGGCGGAAGCCUGAUGCAGCAGCGCCGCGUGCGGGAUGACGGCCUUCGGGUUGUAAACCGCUUUCGCCUGUGACGAAGCGUGAGUGACGGUAAUGGGUAAAGAAGCACCGGCUAACUACGUG
rnacentral:rRNA from 1 species